GCUGUGUAGGGAAGUGUUUGUCCUGUGACUAGCCUUGGAUGAAGAUAGGAGCUGGAAGGAAGGCCCAGGAUGGUGUGGAUAAGGAUCCAGCUGGGGAAGAGAAUUCAGAGACCAUUCAUGGGAUAUCCUUCUCAGCUGUCCAGAAUCAUUUGCCAUUGAUCGGAGACCACCGGGCUGGGCUGAGCUACAGAGACCUUCACAGGAGACCCUAGGGUGUACCUCCAACACAGAAAGAUGUCUUUUGAUGAAAGUAUUAUCGGCGAAUUGUACUAUAACCCCUGCUGCUAUGGAGGCUAUCGUGGUUACAGAAGUUAUGGCUACUGUAGACCAUGGUGUUACCAAAGGCCGUACCAGUAUGGUUGGGGCCAUCACUACAAAUGCUGUUACCCUUACCCUUACCAGUGGGGCUGUGGGUAUGGCUAUGGAAACGGUUGGCCAUGUUUUGCUGAGGAGGAAUAGACCUGGAACAUGGAAAGACCAGGAAAUAUAAAGCAAGAUUCAGAUUUUUGGCUGAGUUUAUGGACAAUGGUUUUCAGAAAUGCAGAGCGUCCUUGACUCCCCUGGGAGUCGUGUGUGCUCAGCUCCUCAGUAAAUCUGCCCCAUAUCUCUAUUUCCCCCGUUACACUUUAUGACUGUUUCCUCUAAUACUUUCCAAACUCUCUGCUUCUUCUAGAAUGAUCAGUUUAGGCAUGCAUCUCAAUUCCAUGAAGGUCCCUUUAGGCCACUGUGACACAGUAAGUGAAGCAAGAGCCUUGUGGGUGGGUCAAAAAACAUUUACACUCACUUGAAGGCUCCUUAAAGAUCUGUGUAAGGGGCCAUUGUGCCAAUGAGAAUCGAGCCCUAUGUGUUCUGGCCUUUUCAUGAAUAUGUGCCAUUGGUCUCUGGUUUCAACAGUGCUACAAAAGUUGUAUAUUGGUGAGGCAGCUUAGUCCUGGAUUAAGUUGUGCUUUGUCUUGUUUGAUUCUGACUGUGAUGAAAGACAUAUCUCAAAAUGGCUGCAAACAGGCCUUAAUUGUCAAACUUUACAGCUGCAAUGAAGAAAGAACAACAUCUGGUGUGAAAUGUAUCACCUUGAAGCCAGUGAUUCAUUGCAGACCUUCUUGAAACCCUGGAAAUAUAUUCUUUCUCCUG